rnacentral:rRNA from 1 species
GUGGGGAAUAUUGCGCAAUGGGGGCAACCCUGACGCAGCCAUGCCGCGUGAAUGAAGAAGGCCUUCGGGUUGUAAAGUUCUUUCGGUGAUGAGGAAGGCGGUUAGUUUAAUAGGCUAAUCGAUUGACGUUAAUCACAGAAGAAGCACCGGCUAACUCCGUGCCAGCAGCCGCGGUAAUACGGAGGGUGCGAGCGUUAAUCGGAAUAACUGGGCGUAAAGGGCACGCAGGCGGUUGCUUAAGUGAGGUGUGAAAUCCCCGGGCUUAACCUGGGAAUUGCAUUUCAGACUGGGCAGCUAGAGUAUUUUAGGGAGGGGUAGAAUUCCACGUGUAGCGGUGAAAUGCGUAGAGAUGUGGAGGAAUACCGAAGGCGAAGGCAGCCCCUUGGGGAAAUACUGACGCUCAUGUGCGAAAGCGUGGGGAGCAAACAGGAUUAGAAACCCCUGUAGUCC